CCUGGGCCACACAGUAAGUACAAGGUCAGCUUGAACUAUGUAGUGACACCUUGUCUCACAGGAGGAAAAGAUACAAAUACUAUGUUACCAGAAGCAUAAACUGAUGUAUUCUUUCUAAACCUGUGAAUAGUGAUAAAAUUUUAAGUUCACAUAUUCUACUGUUAGAAAUUUCCCCUGCAGAAGCUCCCCCAAAUUUUCCAAGACUGCUCCGACAAAGAUGCUCACUGCAGGCCGACUGCAAAAGCAAAACCUCCAAUACCACACCGGCAUCCUCAAGCAGGAAACAGUGUAAAUACAUGAAGGCGUAUUCAUAAAAUGGACUAUGACGCUUUUCUGGGACAGAAGAGGGAGCUGGGAAGAGUGGAGUGGAAGAUCAUUUUCUAUCUUUUACCCAAGAAUACUCUUAGAACCCAUCCACAACUGGAUUUCUUUUUAAAAAUGUUUUCAGGGUGAAAGAUUUACGGGCUUUUUUAGGUUAGUAGAAUUUUUAGGUUAACUGAACCACUCCAGACUGUAGGACUGAAUUUUGGAGAAGUUAGCUAAAGCAAUGUAGCAAUAUACCGUGAUUGCUAAACUGAGCAACAGCUAUCAAAAUAAAAAAUGAGGUGCCCUCUGCUCCCUCACUCUCUCUGCUGAGGAUUUACCUCCUCAUGAACUUGCUGGAAUGUAAAGACACCCCAACACUGCAGGCAACAGCAAAAGUGAGAAAAACACCUAAGACCUCAUAGACAGAAGAUCAGUUGCAUAAAUUACACAAUCCUUAAGGUGGAAUUCUCUGCAGCUGCCUUAAUGAGGCAGGUCUUUUUUGCUGUAUAAGAUGCAUCCAGAGCAGACUAAUCAACGAAAGUAUGAUCUUACACAGUUUCGUUUACAACGAAAGUAUCAUCUUACAUAUGAUCUCACGCAACACAGCAUGAUCUUAAUUUGUAUAAGUUUUUGAAAAGACAAAUGCACGUGCAAUUCCGGGAGGGAAACUUCCAAAAGCACUCACAAGCAGUUACACUUUUUUUUUCCUACGGAAUGUGCAACUGUUACAUUUCACUAAGUAAUUUUUGAAGACUAACGAUGUAACACCCUGAGCUUGAUGAGAACAAGGAAGGCCACAGUCAUGAAUCCAGCUUUUAAUACCCUGUUCAUCUUCCCCACAGGAGCAAACAAUAAAAAGUCGGCUGGGGGAGUAAGGGAAGAGGCAGGGAGGAACACGGCCCCAGAGAGCCACCUGCCAGGACUGGCUUCCUGAACCUGCGCGCUCCACGACUCCUCAGCCCUGAAAGGACAAGGUCCUCUCCCUUGCAUGUGGGACCCUCUCUGCCCUCACUUCCCACCAUGCCUGUCCUGCCCGCCUUCGCACUUUGGGUUUAGGCUCAGUACAGGCCUCCCAUGGUCUCCUGUCCCUGGGGCCCCUGCCCUCCUUCCUUCCUCGGGAGCCUGUAAACUCAAACACACACACGCACCAAAGCCUUUCCGCCUGGGUCCUGGCCUCUUUCCAAGGUUACUCCAUCUCGCUGUGCACCGUCUCCCCUGAGGGACUCUCUGUUCUGCCCAAUCCUGUCCUGGCCAGGGGCCCUGCCCUCAGCUUACAGGGGCCUGGGCUGCUACAGCACGUUCAUAAAGAGGAAGACACUAGAAGGAAACUCUGAGUACGAGCGACACAUUUCUACUUUCUCAGAAGGAACUGACUAGGCUUUCUUGAGUACUGGAAGUCUUUUCUUUUUGGUCUUUUUUUCUGCGAAAGUACUUUCUCUUGGGCUGCUCAGAUGCCACGGAGAAGGCACUCAUUCUCUUUGGUGCCAGGCUAGAAGCCGGGUCAGGAAGGAGGACGGGGAUUGCUCACUAUCAGCUCACAUUCCUGAGACCUAACAGGAGGACACGGUCAAAGGCGGCUGCUCCGGGCUGGCAGAUGAAUGAAGAGAGAACAGAGUCUGCCUUACCUUAUGAACAGUAUCCUGCGGCAAAGGAAUCGAAGUAAGCGAGGGUCUAACGUGAGAACUAAGACCGCGAAAGAAAAAGUGGAGGAGGAGCACCAGGCCAGCCCACAGCGAGGGCAUCCAGGCUGUUCAAACUUGAAAGGUGCUGAAAGGUGAUACUCAAGGCUUUCAAAGGUGUGAGUGCCAAUGCUAUUUCAGCAAAUCAUCAAAGAGCAAGAGCACACCAUGUUUAUUUGAAUAUCACUAAAGUGGGAAUUGUGUUUUAAUUUACUUUUUCUUGUUUUGCAAUACUAGGAACUGAACCCAGGGCCUCUGCACUGAGUUACC